CUGAGUGAGGGAGCAAUCCCGACCUCCAACCCUUUGUGAACGCAUCAUGUUGCUUCGGGGGCGACCCUGCCGUUCGCGGCAUUCCCCCCGGAGGUAAUCAAAACACUGCAUUCUUUCGUCGGAGUAAAAAGUUAAUUUAAUA
rnacentral:misc_RNA from 1 species